UAAAAAUCUCUUCCUACUGUUGCUACUUUUCUUUUUGUCUUCCUAGGCUCUAAGAUGGCUGAUAAAAUGAAACUUUGGGGUGUGGUGCCAACCAUACUAGAGAUGAGCAAAGAUCCCACUAACUUCUACAUAGGACGAACACUGUGGUUCAGUGUCACUUUUAUUUAUGUUUCAGUUGUGCAUAUUGUGCAAAUGUCCUGGAUUCAUGUAGAAACUGACUUCCAGUGCCAUGGGAAUAUUUCUGAUGCCUGUCUAGCAGAAUGCUACGAGGACCACUUCACCAAACCUAUUCUAGGAGUUUGGUAUAUGGUUGGCUUUGUUUUUACCUCCUUCUUUUUUGUAAUGGAGUUUGCUAUUCUUUGGGGUAUAUAUAAAGAGAACAUGAUGUUUAAGAAGCAAUCCUUAGAAAAAGAAAACUUAGAAGACAACAAUGCAGAUGAAGCAAAGAAGGAAGAAGAGAUUUUUGACUUGUCCAAGAGAAAGCCCAUAUUGGCAAUGUAUCUUGUCUACUUUAUGCUACAGAUGUCUGUACAGGUGAUCUUCUUGGCCAUCCUUAUGCACUAUCAGGAACCACUGAUUAGAAAAAAGAGUUGGUGCAGUACCGACUUGUGUCAAGGGCCUUAUUUGUGUGUGUUAAUGGGGACAGAGGAGAAGAGAAUGUCCCUAAUAAUUCUGGCCAGCCUCUCAGUAGUUAUCAUGACUUUCUGUAUUAUAUUCUUCAUUUACUCCAUUAAUGAAUAUAGAGUUAAGAGCAUAGCUCUUUUUGAGAGAUACAAGAGCUCUAUAAGAUCCUAAUAGUAGU
rnacentral:lncRNA from 1 species